rnacentral:rRNA from 1 species
UACAGAGGGGGCAAGCGUUGUUCGGAAUUACUGGGCGUAAAGCGCACGUAGGCGGAUUGUUAAGUCAGAGGUGAAAUCCCGGAGCUCAACUUCGGAACUGCCUUUGAUACUGGCAAUCUCGAGUCCGGAAGAGGUUAGUGGAAUUCCCAGUGUAGAGGUGAAAUUCGAUAGAUAUUGGGAAGAACACCAGUGGCGAAGGCGGCUAACUGGUCCGGUACUGACGCUGAGGUGCGAAAGCGUGGGGAGCAAACGG